UUCCCUUAGGAUCCUGUUGUCUGAUAUCGUCUACUUUCACCUGACAGCCACUUGGAACACAUGCGCAAAGAGGGAGUAUCUCAACAGGCUUCUCUCGCGCGAGGGAGUAUCUGGUUCUCGAACAACAUUGUCCCUGUCAGCCAAUUAGUUCGUAUUAGUGGGAAUCUAUUUACACGGAGAGGAAUUAUGGAAAGAUACAACGUUGAGGUUUGGACGUCACUCUACAGAUGAACCCUCUAUCCUGACACCUGUGGAGCAGUGCUGCAGUACAGUCUGUGAUGUCAUGAGGGACUCUCUUUUUCAUGAUCCUCUAUUCCCGUGGCCCCUCUCCACCCUGGACCGUCGCCUAGCGACCGUGCUCAGAACCUUUGAGCCGUUGCCAGGAUCAACAGUGGAGCCUCCAUGGACGAGGCGAGGAUUAUGUCACUCAUUAUAGGACCUUGGUUACACCUGUGACACAUGCAGGGUAGUCUCUUAGAAAACAGGAUUUCAAAAUGGGUUCUUCAGCUGUCCCCAUAGGAGAACUAUUUUGGGUUCCAGUUGUGUUAAGGUAGGGAUGGUAUACAGAACAUAGCUCUAUUUGG